rnacentral:rRNA from 1 species
UACAGGGGGUGCAAACGUUGCUCGGAAUCAUUGGGCGUAAAGCGCACGUAGGCGGCAUUGCAAGUCGGAUGUGAAAUCCCUCGGCUUAACCAAGGAAGUGCAUCCGAAACUGCAGUGCUUGAGUACUUAAGAGGAUCGCGGAAUUCCCGGUGUAGAGGUGAAAUUCGUAGAUAUCGGGAGGAACACCAGUGGCGAAGGCGGCGAUCUGGGAAGAUACUGACGCUGAGGUGCGAAAGCGUGGGGAGCAAACAGG